GACGAACGCUGGCGGCGUGCUUAACACAUGCAAGUCGAACGAAGUGGCGAACGGGUGAGUAACGCGUAAUCAACCUGCCCUUCAGAGGGGGACAACAGUUGGAAACGACUGCUAAUCCCGCAUACUGAAGGAUGGGAGUUCGUGUGAUUGGUAAGUUGGGGGGGUAACGGCCAACCAGGGCGAGGAUCAGUAGCCUGCCUGAGAGGGUGAACGGCCACAUUGGGACUGAGACACGGCCCAGACUCCUACGGGAGGCAGCAGUGGGGAAUCUUCCGCAAUGGACGAAAGUCUGACGGAGCAACGCCGCGUGAGUGAUGACGGCCUUCGGGUUGUAAAGCUCUGUUAAUCGGGACGCGGUACCGGAAUAGAAAGCCACGGCUAACUACGUGCCAGCAGCCGCGGUAAUAC
rnacentral:rRNA from 1 species